GCUCCGUCCUUUCUGGGCAGUCUUUGCUACUGUAAACAUCCUUGACUGGAAGCUGUAAGGUGCUCAGAGGGGCUUUCAGUCGGAUGUUUACAGCGGCAGGCUGCCACGGUCACGGUCGUCCCCA
rnacentral:precursor_RNA from 12 species